CCUACGGGUGGCAGCAGUGAGGAAUAUUGGUCAAUGGUCGGGAGACUGAACCAGCCAAGCCGCGUGAGGGAGGAAGGCCCAGAGUAUUGUAAACUUCUUUUGUAAGGGAAUAAAGGCGGGGACGUGUCCCCGGAUGAGUGUACCUUAUGAAUAAGGAUCGGCUAACUCCGUGCCAGCAGCCGCGGUAAUACGGAGGGUCCGAGCGUUAUCCGGAUUCAUUGGGGUUAAAGGGAGCGUAGGGGGGUCGUUAAGUCAGUUGUGAAAUUUGGCGGCUCAACCGGCGCACUGCAGUUGAAACUGGAAGUCUUGAGUACAGAAGAGGCAGGCGGAAUUCGUGGUGUAGCGGUGAAAUGCUUAGAUAUCACGAAGAACUCCGAUUGCGAAGGCAGCCUACUGGAGUGCAACUGACGCUGAGGCUCGAAGGUGCGGGUAUCAAACAGGAUUAGAUACCCGAGUAGUC
rnacentral:rRNA from 1 species